rnacentral:rRNA from 1 species
UACAGAGGUCUCAAGCGUUGUUCGGAUUCAUUGGGCGUAAAGGGUGCGUAGGCGGCGCGGUAAGUCGGGUGUGAAAUCUCGGAGCUUAACUCCGAAACUGCAUUCGAUACUGCCGUGCUUGAGGACUGGAGAGGAGACUGGAAUUUACGGUGUAGCGGUGAAAUGCGUAGAUAUCGUAAGGAAGACCAGUGGCGAAGCGGUCUCUGGACAGUCCUGACGCUGAGGCACGAAGGUCAGGGAGCAAACGGG